rnacentral:rRNA from 1 species
GACGUCCCUAGUUCGGAUUGUAGGCUGAAACUCGCCUACAUGAAGCUGGAAUUGCUAGUAAUCACAGGUCAGCAUACUGUGGUGAAUACGUUCCCGGGCCUUGUACACACCGCCCGUCACACCAUGAGAGUUGGGAAUACCCGAAGCCUGUGAGCUAACUUUUAGAGGCAGCAGUCGAAGGUAGAAUCAAUGAUUGGGGUGAAGUCGUAACAAGGUAGC